rnacentral:rRNA from 1 species
UCCACGCCGUAAACGAUGAAUACUCGUUGUCUGCAAUAUACAGUAGGCGACUGAGCGAAAGCAUUAAGUAUUCCACCUGGGGAGUACGUUGGCAACAAUGAAACUCAAAGGAAUUGACGGGGGCCCGCACAAGCGGAGGAACAUGUGGUUUAAUUCGAUGAUACGCGAGGAACCUUACCCGGGUUUAAAUGCAGGACGAAACUCUGAGAGAUCGGAGCCUCUUCGGACGGACUGCAAGGUGCUGCAUGGCUGUCGUCAGCUCGUGCCGUGAGGUGUCGGGUUAAGUCCCAUAACGAGCGCAACCCCUAUCGUUAGUUGCUAACAGGUUAAGCUGAUGAC